rnacentral:rRNA from 1 species
CAAUAGCGUAUAUUAAAGUUGUUGCGGUAAAAAAGCUCGUAGUUGGAUUUCUACCAAAGAUAGCCGGUCGGGUCUUCGACCUUGUAUCUGGUUUUGUCUUUGGUAUCCUCAUAGGGAACGUUUCUGCGCUUUAUUGCGUGGUGCGGUAUCUAUGACUUUUACUUUGAGGAAAUUAGAGUGUUCACGGCAGGCAAACGCCUUGAAUAUAUUAGCAUGGAAUAAUAACAUAGGAUCUUCGUCCUAUUUUGUUGGUUUCUAGGGCUAAGAUAAUGAUUAAUAGGGAUAAUUGGGGGCAUCUGUAUCAACGCGUCAGAGGUGGAAUUCUUGGAUUGCGUUGCGACAAACUACUGCGAAAGCAUUUGCCAAGGAUGUUUUCAUUGA